AAAAGGACUGCGGAAUAGAGAAUGCGUUAUUGAAACAACCAAUUAGCGCUAUUCGGAAUAACGCAGAAUAACGCUGAUUGAUUGCUUCUAUGACGCAUUCUCUUUUCCGCAGUCGUAUUCCGCAUCGUCUGAUUUCCCUAAGAAUAAUAGGUAUUAAGUCAUCUAAAAAGUAUUCACGAUACUUUGUCACUAGAUAUAUGAUCAUCAACAUCUAGUGACAAAAAACCGCGGAUACUUUUUAGAUGACCCAAUAUUUCCACUCAUGUAAAAUCAACUGUGAUUUUCCUGAGGAAACUCCGCAGUUGAACAGUAAGUGGCGUAUAUGUAUAACACCUAACCUCAUAAGCCCCGGGAAAAA